AGUGAACAAGGAUCCCUUGGAAGAAGGCAAUGCUUCACUUGACGAUUUUCUAUUCACCAAAAGAUUGUGUGAAAAUAGCGAAUGUAAACCAAAGAAAUCGAAAGAUAGUGCUCCACGUGGCCAUUCACAAGGCUCCAAAAGAGUGCA